rnacentral:rRNA from 1 species
UAGGGAAUCUUCGGCAAUGGGGGCAACCCUGACCGAGCAACGCCGCGUGAGUGAAGAAGGUUUUCGGAUCGUAAAGCUCUGUUGUAAGAGAAGAACGUGUGUGAGAGUGGAAAGUUCACACAGUGACGGUAACUUACCAGAAAGGGACGGCUAACUACGUGCCAGCAGCCGCGGUAAUACGUAGGUCGCGAGCGUUGUCCGGAUUUAUUGGGCGUAAAGCGAGCGCAGGCGGUUUAAUAAGUCUGAAGUUAAAGGCAGUGGCUUAACCAUUGUUCGCUUUGGAAACUGUUAAACUUGAGUGCAGAAGGGGAGAGUGGAAUUCAAUGUGUAGCGGUGAAAUGCGUAGAUAUAUGGAGGAACACCGGUGGCGAAAGCGGCUCUCUGGUCUGUAACUGACGCUGAGGCUCGAAAGCGUGGGGAGCAAACAGG